GCUGACGAGUGGCGAACGGGUGAGUAAAGUAUCGGAACGUACCUUUCAGUGGGGGAUAACGUAGCGAAAGUUACGCUAAUACCGCAUAUUCUGUGAGCAGGAAAGCAGGGGAUCGCAAGACCUUGCGCUGAUUGAGCGGCCGAUAUCAGAUUAGCUAGUUGGUGAGGUAAAGGCUCACCAAGGCGACGAUCUGUAGCGGGUCUGAGAGGAUGAUCCGCCACACUGGAACUGAGACACGGUCCAGACUCCUACGGGAGGCAGCAGUGGGGAAUCUUGGACAAUGGGGGCAACCCUGAUCCAGCCAUGCCGCGUGAGUGAAGAAGGCCUUCGGGUUGUAAAGCUCUUUCGGCCGGGAAGAAAUCGUAUGGGUUAAUACCCUGUGCGGAUGACGGUACCGGCAUAAGAAGCACCGGCUAACUACGUGCCAGCAGCCGCGGUAAUACGUAGGGUGCGAGCGUUAAUCGGAAUUACUGGGCGUAAAGCGUGCGCAGGCGGUUUUGUAAGACAGGCGUGAAAUCCCCGGGCUCAACCUGGGAACUGCGCUUGUGACUGCAAGGCUAGAGUAUGGCAGAGGGGGGUGGAAUUCCACGUGUAGCAGUGAAAUGCGUAGAGAUGUGGAGGAACACCAAUGGCGAAGGCAGCCCCCUGGGCCAAUACUGACGCUCAUGCACGAAAGCGUGGGUAGCAAACAGGGUUAGAUACCCUGGUAGUCCACGCCCUAAACGAUGUCAACUAGGUGUUGGGUGGGUAAAACCAUUUAGUACCGGAGCUAACGCGUGAAGUUGACCGCCUGGGGAGUACGGCCGCAAGGUUAAAACUCAAAGGAAUUGACGGGGACCCGCACAAGCGGUGGAUGAUGUGGAUUAAUUCGAUGCAACGCGAAAAACCUUACCUACCCUUGACAUGUCCAGGAGCCUGAAGAGAUUUGGGUGUGCCCGAAAGGGAACUGGAACACAGGUGCUGCAUGGCUGUCGUCAGCUCGUGUCGUGAGAUGUUGGGUUAAGUCCCGCAACGAGCGCAACCCUUGUCGUUAAUUGCCAUCAUUUAGUUGGGCACUUUAACGAGACUGCCGGUGACAAACCGGAGGAAGGUGGGGAUGACGUCAAGUCCUCAUGGCCCUUAUGGGUAGGGCUUCACACGUCAUACAAUGGUCGGUACAAAGGGUUGCCAACCCGCGAGGGGGAGCCAAUCCCAGAAAGCCGAUCGUAGUCCGGAUCGCAGGCUGCAACUCGCCUGCGUGAAGUCGGAAUCGCUAGUAAUCGUGGAUCAGCAUGUCACGGUGAAUACGUUCCCGGGUCUUGUACACACCGCCCGUCACACCAUGGGAGCGGGUUCCGCCAGAAGUAGGUAGCCUAACCGCAAGGGGGGCGCUUACCACGGCGGGGUUCGUGACUGGGGUGAAGUCGUAACAAGGUA
rnacentral:rRNA from 1 species